rnacentral:rRNA from 1 species
CUCUAUCAGCAGGGAAGAAAAUGACGGUACCUGACUAAGAAGCCCCGGCUAACUACGUGCCAGCAGCCGCGGUAAUACGUAGGGGGCAAGCGUUAUCCGGAUUUACUGGGUGUAAAGGGAGCGUAGACGGCGAGACAAGUCUGAAGUGAAAGCCCGGGGCUCAACCCCGGGACUGCUUUGGAAACUGCCUUGCUAGAGUGCUGGAGAGGUAAGUGGAAUUCCUAGUGUAGCGGUGAAAUGCGUAGAUAUUGGGAGGAACACCAGUAGCGAAGGCGGCUUUCUGGACUGCAACUGACACUGAGGCACGAAAGCGUGGGUAGCAAACAGGAUUAGAUACCCUGGUAGUCCACGCUGUAAACGAUGAGUACUAGGUGUCGGGGGUUACCCCCCUCGGUGCCGCAGCUAACGCAUUAAGUACUCCGCCUGGGGAGUACGCACGCAAGUGUGAAACUCAAAGGAAUUGACGGGGACCCGCACAAGUAGCGGAGCAUGUGGUUUAAUUCGAAGCAACGCGAAGAACCUUACCUAAGCUUGACAUCCCUCGGACAGGUGUUUAAUCACACCCUUCCUUCGGGACUGAGGUGACAGGUGGUGCAUGGUUGUCGUCAGCUCGUGUCGUGAGAUGUUGGGUUAAGUGCCAUAACGAGCGCAACCCUUAUCUUUAGUUACUAACAGGUCAUGCUGAGGACUCUAGAGAGACUGCCGUCGUAAGAUGUGAGGAAGGUGGGGAUGACGUCAAAUCAGCACGGCCCUUACGUCCGGGGCUACACACGUGUUACAAUGGGGGGUACAGAAGGCAGCUACCUGGUGACAGGAUGCUAAUCCCAAAAGCCUCUCUCAGUUCGGAUCGAAGUCUGCAACCCGACUUCGUGAAGCUGGAUUCGCUAGUAAUCGCGCAUCAGCCAUGGCGCGGUGAAUACGUUCCCGGGCCUUGUACACACCGC